AUGGGAGCGCAAGUGACCAUGUACUUUUUGUAGAACGGGCCAACGAGUUAUGGUAUGCAGCGAGGUUAAGUUCCUGGAGGAACGGAGCCGUAGGGAAACCGAGUCUUAAUAGGGCGAGUAGUUGUAUGCUGUAGACCCGAAACCGGGUGACCUAUCCAUGUGCAGGUUGAAGUAACCGUAAAAGGUUAUGGAGGACCGAACUUAUAUCCGUUGAAAAGGGUUAGGAUGACGUGUGGAUAGCGGUGAAAUUCCAAUCGAACUCGGAGAUAGCUGGUUCUCCUCGAAAUAGCUUUAGGGCUAGCCUCAAGGAAGAGAUACACGGGGGUAGAGCACUGAAUGUUCUAGGGGCCUUCACCGGUUACCGAAAACUAUCAAACUCCGAAUACCGUAGUAUCAUACUUGGGAGUCAGACUACGAGUGAUAAGAUCCGUGGUCAAAAGGGAAACAGCCCAGACCUACAGCUAAGGUCCCCAAAUGUAGAUUAAGUGGAGAAGGAUGUGGAGCUGCAUAGACAACUAGGAUGUUGGCUUAGAAGCAGCCACUCAUUUAAAGAGUGCGUAAUAGCUCACUAGUCGAGUGACUCUGCGCCGAAGAUAAACGGGGCUAAAAUCUACUACCGAAGCUUAGGAAUUACUUAAUGUAAUUGGUAGAGGAGCAUCGUAUAACGGGCUGAAGCUGUGCUGUAAGGCAUGGUGGACUUUAUACGAGAGAGAAUGUUGGCAUGAGUAGCGUAAGGCAGGUGAGAAUCCUGUCCGCCGAAAAUCUAAGGUUUCCUGAGGAAGGUUCGUCCUCUCAGGGUUAGUCGGGGCCUAAGCCGAGAGCGAAAGCUGUAGGCGAUGGACAACAGGUUGAUAUUCCUGUACCACCGAAAGUCGUUUGAGCGAAGUGGGGACACAGAAGGAUAGGUUGAGCACGCUGUUGGUUAUGCGUGUCUAAGCGUCAAGGGAGUUAAGAUAGGCAAAUCCGUUUUAACAAUUCUGAGGCGUGAUGGGGUGGCCGUAAGGCUGGAAGCAACUGAUUUCACACUGUCAAGAAAAGCCGCUAGCGAGACCGUAGGUGCCCGUACCGCAAACCGACACAGGUAGAUGAGGAGAGAAUCCUAAGGUGAGCGAGAGAACUAUUGUUAAGGAACUCGGCAAAAUAACCCCGUAACUUCGGGAGAAGGGGUGCUCCGGAAACGGAGCCGCAGUGAAAAGUCCCAGGCGACUGUUUACCAAAAACACAGGUCUCUGCUAAAGCGAAAGCUGAAGUAUAGGGGCUGACGCCUGCCCGGUGCUGGAAGGUUAAGGGGAAGUGUUAGCGCAAGCGAAGCACUGAACUUAAGCCCCAGUAAACGGCGGCCGUAACUAUAACGGUCCUAAGGUAGCGAAAUUCCUUGUCGGGUAAGUUCCGACCCGCACGAAAGGCGUAACGAUUUGGGAACUGUCUCAACAAUAGACUCGGUGAAAUUGUAGUACCGGUAAAGAUGCCGGUUACCCGCAGCAGGACGGAAAGACCCCAUGGAGCUUUACUGUAGC
rnacentral:rRNA from 1 species